AGUGGCGAACGGGUGAGUAACACGUGGGAAACCUACCUCUUAGCAGGGGAUAACAUUUGGAAACAGAUGCCAAUACCGUAUAACAAUAGCAACCGCAUGGUUGCUACUUAAAAGAUGGUUCUGCUAUCACUAAGAGAUGGUCCCGCGGUGCAUUAGUUAGUUGGUGAGGUAAUGGCUCACCAAGACGAUGAUGCAUAGCCGAGUUGAGAGACUGAUCGGCCACAAUGGGACUGAGACACGGCCCAUACUCCUACGGGAGGCAUCAGUAGGGAAUCUUCCACAAUGGGCGAAAGCCUGAUGGAGCAACGCCGCGUGUGUGAUGAAGGGUUUCGGCUCGUAAAACACUGUUGUAAGAGAAGAAUGACAUUGAGAGUAACUGUUCAAUGUGUGACGGUAUCUUACCAGAAAGGAACGGCUAAAUACGUGCCAGCAGCCGCGGUAAUACGUAUGUUCCAAGCGUUAUCCGGAUUUAUUGGGCGUAAAGCGAGCGCAGACGGUUAUUUAAGUCUGAAGUGAAAGCCCUCAGCUCAACUGAGGAAUUGCUUUGGAAACUGGAUGACUUGAGUGC
rnacentral:rRNA from 1 species